UGUUCGAGCGUCAUUUCACCACUCAAGCCUGGCUUGGUAUUGGGCGCCGCGGUGCAUCCGCGCGCCUCAAAGUCUCCGGCUGAGCUGUCCGUCUCCAAGCGUUGUGAUUUCAUUAAUCGCUUCGGAGCGCGGGUGGUGGCGGCCGUUAAAUCUUUCCAAAGGUUGACCUCGGAUCAGGUAGGGAUACCCGCUGAACUUAA
rnacentral:misc_RNA from 1 species